rnacentral:rRNA from 1 species
AGAGUUUGAUCCUGGCUCAGGACGAACGCUGGCGGCGUGCUUAACACAUGCAAGUCGAACGGAAAGGCCCUUCGGGGUGCUCGAGUGGCGAACGGGUGAGUAACACGUGGGUGAUCUGCCCUGCACUUUGGGAUAAGCCUGGGAAACUGGGUCUAAUACCGGAUAGGACCAUGGCCUUCAUUGGGUUGGCUUGUGGUGGAAAGCUUUUGCGGUGUGGGAUGGGCCCGCGGCCUAUCAGCUUGUUGGUGGGGUAAUGGCCUACCAAGGCGACGACGGGUAGCCGGCCUGAGAGGGUGACCGGCCACACUGGGACUGAGAUACGGCCCAGACUCCUACGGGAGGCAGCAGUGGGGAAUAUUGCACAAUGGGCGCAAGCCUGAUGCAGCGACGCCGCGUGGGGGAUGACGGCCUUCGGGUUGUAAACCUCUUUCAGCACAGACGAAGCGUGAGUGACGGUAUGUGCAGAAGAAGCACCGGCCAACUACGUGCCAGCAGCCGCGGUAAUACGUAGGGUGCGAGCGUUGUCCGGAAUUACUGGGCGUAAAGAGCUCGUAGGUGGUUUGUCGCGUUGUUCGUGAAAACUCACAGCUUAACUGUGGGCGUGCGGGCGAUACGGGCAGACUGGAGUACUGCAGGGGAGACUGGAAUUCCUGGUGUAGCGGUGGAAUGCGCAGAUAUCAGGAGGAACACCGGUGGCGAAAGGCGGGUCUCUGGGCAGUAACUGACGCUGAGGAGCGAAAGCGUGGGGAGCGAACAGGAUUAGAUACCCUGGUAGUCCACGCCGUAAACGGUGGGUACUAGGUGGGGGUUUCUUCCUUGGGAUCGUGCCGUAGCUAACGCAU